UGGGAGGUAGUUCAAUGGUAGAAUGCUGAGUUGCACUUUCAGAGAUAUUGGUUCAAUUCCAAUCUUCCCUU